UGAUGCUGAACCUGAUUGGAUUCCUCAUCCCAACUCACAUCUGGAUACUCCUCAUCUAGAUACACACAUCAUUUCUCCCCUGAACAAUGACUGUGCCUGUGCCUCAUCUUCACUUUCACCUUGAUCCUGAUCCUAAACCUCACCUGGCCUUGAACUUCAUUCAUACACUGACCCUUAUUUGACCUCAUUCUUACUCCAACCCUCAUACUGACCCUUAUGUUGACCCUGACCCUGACCUUAACCAUCACCCUGACACUGACUCUGAAAUAUACACCCACUCUCACUCUGACCCUGUACCAGACCCUCUGCACCUCACCCUAUCACUAACCCCCUCACUGACCCUGACCCCCAACUUGAUCCCCAAAUACACCCUCAGAUGCUGAUCCUAAUACUGAUUGUGAUACUGCUCCUGACACUUACCAUAUCCUAAAGCUCACCAUCAUCAUGACAUUUACGCUUAACCUCUCCCUGUCUGUGACCCCCUCUCUCUGACCCUCAUUGUCACCCUGACCCUUAUAAUGAUUCUGACUCUAAUAAUGACCUAACCAUCACCAAGUUGAGUUUGAACAUGAAAUCUUAUACACUCACACUCUAGUUUCUUUUGGAUUUCUUACUGUUCUCAAUAAGAAUGUGCUUUUGAGAACUAAUUCUCAACUUGUUUACACAUGUACUGUGUGCUUUCUUUUCUUUUCUCUUUUCUUUUCAGACAGGAUCUUGCUCUGUUGCCCAAGUGGGAGUACAUUGGUAUGAUCAUGGCUCACUGCAGCCUCAACUUCCUGGGCUCAAGCGACUUUCCCUCCUCAGCCUCCUGAGUGGCUGGGGCUACAGGCAUGCACCACCACUCCUAGGGUAAACUGAGAUGGACAUAAGCACAUAUGAGUAUGUGACAUUCAUUGCAAAGGCACAGCCCUACUGUAAGGGACAAUAAUAAGGACGAGUCUAAGCAGAAGUACUGAAAAGAAUCCACUGGCCUGGGCAAUGUGGUGAAACCCCAUCUCUACAAAAAUACAAAAAACUAGCCAGUAAACUAAGAUGAAUGUAAGAAGAACAACACAUAUCCAUCUAAAAGGUGUAUUCUUUUUUUUCAAGUUCAGAAUCACGCCGGCCUCAUUCUACCGCUGCUCUCUCCUGGAUCUCGGCCACGGAUCUUUUGCUCGCGAAAGUUCCUCCGUCUAGCUGCACACAACGCUGCUGCAGGAAACCGAGGUAAGGGAUUUGCCGGGACUUAGCUCCACCACACUCCCCGAGGCCCCGCCCCUCCUCUCUGUCCCUCCCCUAGGCCCAGGUCUCCCGCGUUGCACGUGCAGUUGUUGUGGUUCUACGUCACGUGGUCCCGGAAGUUCACGACAGACCCGCCUCAAACAUGGCGGCGCCCAGCGCGCGAGGACGUGGUCCGCUUCUGCUCCGGCUUGGAUUGUAGCCUUGACGAGGUCUGAGCGACCAUGGACCGGCCGGGGUUCAUGGCAGCGCUGGUGGCUGGUGGGGUAGCAGGUGUUUCUGUUGACUUGAUAUUAUUUCCUCUGGAUACCAUUAAAACCAGGCUGCAGAGUCCCCAAGGAUUUAAUAAGGCUGGUGGUUUUCAUGGAAUAUAUGCUGGCGUUCCUUCGGCUGCUGUUGGAUCCUUUCCUAAUGCUGCUGCAUUUUUUAUCACCUAUGAAUAUGUGAAGUGGUUUUUGCAUGCUGAUUCAUCUUCAUAUUUGACACCUAUGAAACAUAUGUUGGCUGCCUCUGCUGGAGAAGUGGUUGCCUGCCUGAUUCGAGUUCCAUCUGAAGUGGUUAAGCAGAGGGCACAGGUAUCUGCUUCUACAAGAACAUUUCAGAUUUUCUCUAAUAUCUUAUAUGAAGAGGGUAUCCAAGGGUUGUAUCGAGGCUAUAAAAGCACAGUUUUAAGAGAGAUUCCUUUUUCUUUGGUCCAGUUUCCCUUAUGGGAGUCCUUAAAAGCCCUCUGGUCCUGGAGGCAGGAUCAUGUGGUGGAUUCUUGGCAGUCAGCAGUCUGUGGAGCUUUUGCAGGUGGAUUUGCCGCUGCAGUCACCACCCCUCUAGACGUGGCAAAGACAAGAAUUAUGCUGGCAAAGGCUGGCUCCAGCACUGCUGAUGGGAAUGUGCUCUCUGCCCUGCAUGGGGUCUGGCGGUCACAGGGGCUGGCAGGAUUAUUUGCAGGUGUCUUCCCUCGAAUGGCAGCCAUCAGUCUGGGAGGUUUCAUCUUUCUGGGGGCUUAUGACCGAACGCACAGCUUGCUGUUGGAAGUUGGCAGAAAGAGUCCUUGAAGCAGAGAGAGCCUCACCUCCACUUCUGUCAAGAGAGGGGCCUGCCGUGUAAACCCUCUUCCGCUGAGCAGCUGUCUGAACUAUAGGCCCCAGUGCUGAAGACCAGUUCUGCUAAGAUACCGGCAUGGAGAUUGUGCCAUCCGUGGUAUAGGCUGGCUGAGAUGUGUCCAGCGCCCCCUGUGGUGUGUGAGAGAAAGCAGCUGCAACUCAAGUGACUAGGUGGGCCCAGCUGGCUUCGUGCAGGAGGGCACGGUGGGUGAGCCAUUCUCAUGUCAGGCUGAAAGGAGGGCCUGGGCCAGCUUUGAAAAGGCAGGAUGAAAUGGAAAGGUCACCACACUUUGGCAUUUUAGAGCUUGACUAACAAGCUCCAGGUGUAGAAAAAUUCAAAACAAAAUGUCAGGAAUCUAGCAGUGUUGUCUGCCCUGGAGCGAGCAAACAAACAGUAUAUGAUUUUGCUUCGCCUAUUUUUUUUUCUUUUUUGGGGGAAGAUAAUUAAUUAAAGGCAGAAUGACUGCGUUUGUAAAAGAAGGACCACCAACUAUACUGACAUUUAUAAAUGAACCUUUAUUAAAGACACUUCAAUGCCAUUUGUUAGACACUUCAAUAUUUUACAUGGUUUUCAAUGUACACUGUACCAAAAUUUCUAUAAAUAAAUAACUUUGUACAUAAAAGUAA